AAAAUAACAACGUUACUAAUAAGUAAAAUAACUUACAAGUUCCACGCUACAUUCCUUCACCGUGACGUCAUAAAACAUGAACGUUUCUACUGGCUUUUAACUGUCUUUUCAACUUCCGGAAAAGACACUCUACUGAUUUCGGUAAUAUUCUUGCUGUCCCUAACAAUGGUGUUUUUUGAAGAAGUUCUAUUCUUAUAUGAAUUCUCAAUCCAAUUAUAUACAGUUUAUUACUAACUGCUCCUAAGGCACCUACUACUAUUGGAAUCAAUUCUACUUUUUUCAUUGCCCAUAUUUUCCGAAUUUCCCUUUUCAACUCAUCAUACUUUUCUACCUUCUCUCUUUCUUUUAGACUAUGAUCUUAUACUUCUUUUCCUUCUAUAAAACCACUACAAUAUCAGGUGUUCGACAUUCAAUCACAUUUAUUUAACUUUGCCAAGUAACAUGCAACAUUUAACAGUACUGAUUUACAACAACAUAUAAUAUGUGUUCCAUUGGCAGGGUACACGCAACAGUUUUCACCAAUUACAGCGGCCCCAUUAACUAUACUAAUACUACACAACGAACACAAAUCUAAUAACAACACGAUAUUUGACAGGACAGAUUACGAGACUUGUUACAAGACAAACAUAUAGAUUUCCAUGUCCUUGGAUCAUCAACGUCAAAAACGUCUUCCAGCGCUAACUUGUAAUAUUUAGAAAGUCCGUUUUUGAAUUGUCCUAAACUAAUGUUAUUGCUUGUCAAACUUUUUGGUACUACAUUCCAUAAUCUCUUUGUUCGGUUCAGAAAUGACCUUUGAUAGGUAGUGGUCUUGCAUUGUGCCGUUGUAAUUGACAGAUGAUUGGGAUUAGACGACCUGGUUUCUCUUCUGUUGUUAUUGGGUGACGACUGUAUUAAAUUAUUGUCAAUGGUCAUGAUCCAUGCGUUAAUUUGUAGAAGGUUACCAUAUCUAGAAAUUCAUGCCAGUAGCACAAUGGAAGGAGGUCUAAAAGUAU